rnacentral:rRNA from 1 species
CCUACGGGAGGCUGCAGGGAGGAAUAUUGGUCAAUGGACGAGAGUCUGAACCAGCCAAGUAGCGUGAAGGAUGACUGCCCUAUGGGUUGUAAACUUCUUUUAUAUGGGAAUAAAAUGUUCCACGUGUGGGAUUUUGUAUGUACCAUAUGAAUAAGGAUCGGCUAACUCCGUGCCAGCAGCCGCGGUAAUACGGAGGAUCCGAGCGUUAUCCGGAUUUAUUGGGUUUAAAGGGAGCGUAGGUGGAUUGUUAAGUCAGUUGUGAAAGUUUGCGGCUCAACCGUAAAAUUGCAGUUGAAACUGGCAGUCUUGAGUACAGUAGAGGUGGGCGGAAUUCGUGGUGUAGCGGUGAAAUGCUUAGAUAUCACGAAGAACUCCGAUUGCGAAGGCAGUUCACUGGACUGCAACUGACACUGAGGCUCGAAAGUGUGGGUAUCAAACAGGAUUAGAUACCCGAGUAGUC